GGUUUCCGUAGGUGACCUGCGGAAGGAUCAUUAAUGAAAAAGUUCUUCUCAUGAACCGCUCAUAACCCAUUUGUUUUAAUCCCACCUUUUUUUGCUUCCACUGGUCAGUGUUGAGUCCGUAGUAGCGUCGCAAGGCGUUAUGGGGCGAGACCCUUGACGCCUUUUCUCUAGGGAGGAGUUGCUCAAGCGUGCCGGGUGGUUGCCUAUACUGAAAAAUACCCAUGAAUACUGAGCAAUACUGUCUGAAACAAGUUUUUUAUAACAAAUCAUUAUAAAACUUUCAACAACGGAUCUCUAGGCUCUUGCAUCGAUGAAGAACGCAGUGAAAUGCGAUACGUAAUGUGAAUUGCAGAAUCUCGUGAAUCAUUGAAUCUUUGAACGCACAUUGCGCCCUGUGGUAUUCCAUAGGGCAUGCCUGUCUGAGCGUCAGCUCCCACCCACUCAAGCUCUUUUGCUUGGAUUAUUUCGAGCGAGCAGUCUUCACGGAUUGCUGCCCGUAAAUUCAUAGGCAGUAUGGUCUCCAUUUCUCAAUGUCCAAGCUGAGCGUAAUAAUUAAAAAAGUCACGUUCUUAAUGGAUAGAGAGAUGAUGGUGCAUUGUACUCGCCCUUAACCCACAAUACUUUUUAUUGGGUGACCUCAGAUCAGGUAGGGAUACCCGCUGAACUUAAGCAUAUCAAUAAGCG
rnacentral:rRNA from 1 species